GGGCGAGUGGUGGAAUGGCAGACACGCUAGGCUUAGGACCUAGUGCCGCGAGGCGUAGGAGUUCGACUCUCCUCUCGCCCACCA
rnacentral:tRNA from 1 species